CGUGACGCAUCCACCAUACACAAAAACUUCGGCCACACUGGCGGUUAAUGAAAGGAAGUGUAUUCCAUCCGAAUGGGUCCCACAAGUGUCCUUAGAGGAAUUCCGGAAACUUUGGAAGCAUCUAGAGGUGGACGGCAGUGGCGUGGUGGUGAAGGCUGUGCUCAGAAGCGGCAGGUACGCGCAGCUCUGUUCCGCCACACUGCGCCCCAACACCGACGUUUUGGUGAAAGUGGCACACUGCAGCACAGCAGCCCUGGAGUCCCAUGCAGUGCGGGAAUGCAGUGCAGCAGUGCAGCUGACACG
rnacentral:lncRNA from 1 species